rnacentral:rRNA from 1 species
UAGGGAAUCUUCGGCAAUGGGGGGAACCCUGACCGAGCAACCNCGCGUGAGUGAAGAAGGUUUUCGGAUCGUAAAGCUCUGUUGUUAAGGAAGAACGUGUGUGAGAGUGGAAAGUUCACACAGUGACGGUACUUAACCAGAAAGGGACGGCUAACUACGUGCCAGCAGCCGCGGUAAUACGUAGGUCCCGAGCGUUGUCCGGAUUUAUUGGGCGUAAAGCGAGCGCAGGCGGUUAGAUAAGUCUGAAGUUAAAGGCUGUGGCUUAACCAUAGUACGCCUUGGAAACUGUUUAACUUGAGUGCAAGAGGGGAGAGUGGAAUUCCAUGUGUAGCGGUGAAAUGCGUAGAUAUAUGGAGGAACACCGGUGGCGAAAGCGGCUCUCUGGCUUGUAACUGACGCUGAGGCUCGAAAGCGUGGGGAGCAAACAGGAUUAGAUACCCUGGUAGUCCACGCCGUAAACGAUGAGUGCUAGGUGUUAGACCCUUUCCGGGGUUUAGUGCCGCAGCUAACGCAUUAAGCACUCCGCCUGGGGAGUACGACCGCNGGUUG